GACAGAGGAUGCAAGCGUUAUCCGGAAUGAUUGGGCGUAAAGCGUCUGUAGGUGGCUUUUUUAAGUCCGCCGUCAAAUCCCAGGGCUCAACCUGGACAGGCGGUGGAAACUACCAAGCUGAGUACGGUAGGGGGCAGAGGGAAUUUCCGGUGGAGCGGUGAAAUGCGUAGAGAUCGGAAAGAACACCAACGGCGAAAGCACUCUGCUGGGCCGACACUGACACUGAGAGACGAAAGCUAGGGGAGCGAAUGGGAUUAGAACCUCCGAGUCAG
rnacentral:rRNA from 1 species